AUGACCUUUUAAAUGAAGCUGAACCUCACCUGUCUUGAAUAACACUUGCUGUUUACUGAGAAGUAGCCCUGCUCAUUUCUCUUUGGCGUUCUCUCUGGCCACCAGGUUUUCUGGGACUUGGUCUUUAUUUUAAACAGUUUGUAGAUAGAGACGAUGGAAUUUUGAAGUUAAUAGAAAGAAGCUGCAGUGACACUAUUAAUCCAAGAAAAAGUCUGCCAAACCUUACUUUACACUUUGAGAAAAUGUUUUGCUUGUUUUCAGUCUGGCCUCAUCACAGUCAUUUUGAACACACACACACACACACACACACAUACACUGUAGUGGGUUGAAUGGUGGCCCCUCAAAAGAUACAUUCACCUGGAACUUGUGAAUGUGACUCUAUUUAGAAAAAUGGUUUUUGCAGAUCUAAUAAGGAUCCUGAAAUGAGAUCAACCUGGAUUAUCCAGGUGGGCCCUAUAGCUAAUGACAAGUGUAGUAUAAGAGACAAGAGAAGACACGGGAGGGCAGAAGGCAAUGUGAAGACAGAGGCAAAGACUGGAGUGAUGCAACUGCAAGCCAAAGAAUCCCUGGAGCUGUCAGAGAUUGGAAGAGGCGAGGAAGCUUCUCCCCUGAGUCUUCAGAGGGAGCACAAGCCUGCCGACACGGUGAUUUUGGACUUCUGGCCUCCAGAACGAUGAACUGGUUACCCCGGAAACCAGGGAAGGAAAAAAAAACCGAUCCAAGUGCAGUGUUAAUAAACAGCUUAGCGUGCAAAAAUAUAAUAGAAGAACGUUCCAGGUUACUCUGCUGCUGUCUUGGUUUUGGGAUGGGUGCAGGACACACUUGGCGCAUCGAGCUAUUGCCGCCUACUCUGUUGGGCCUGUCUCAUCUUACAAGGCUGGGGAGUCGGCUUUGUAAUAGAUUUUUGGCAUGGUGGAUCCCGUAGCAGACUCGAGGAGAAAGGGGCUGCUCUUUCCCUGUGUGAGGAAGGCUGGAGCUACUUCGUAUACUACUGGGAUUCCCUUUCAAGGAAUAUCUUGGACUAAACUGUCUUUUUCCUGAUGGAUUACGUUUUGGAUCAUCCUUUACCAAGAAUAUAAUCAUGGGCUGUUAACAUUUUUUUGGACAUUCAUUUGGCUGGUAACUGCAGUGUUUUGGGAAACCUGUUUUCGUUUAAUUUCAUUUCCUUUUUCCUGUUAAGCGCAUCAUUGGGCUAAAAGAGGAGAACCUCAGAUUUUUGGAAGUCUUUGUGUUUUGUGCUGCUUCUCAAUUCAUAUUGGAUACCAGAGGAGGAAAGAAUUGGAACGCUCUCAUGACUUCUGUGGUUCCCUCCCCUGGAAAGCCAGAAUCCACACCCCGACCUGCCUUAGGUGGUUAGCACUAACAUUGAAACAAUAGUCAUUUAAUACUAUCAUAACAUUACAUAAGUCAUUUCCUCCCUUCUAGAACGUGGAGGGAUAUGUGAGAAGCAAAGAAAAAUCUGUGACCCUUCUACUCAGAUUUUCCACAGGCCUCCAAUUACCCUUUCAUCUGUACCAAAAUAUGGAGGGUGAUGUUAAAAACUUGUGUGAGAAUCUGGCAGAGUUUUGUACGUUAAUGUUGUCUCUGGUCUGGUUUCUAAAACCAUUCUGGUAAUUUGGAAGAUUUGCCAGCAAGAGCCAAUUGUUCAACAGGAACUGUCAGUUUAAUUCGUAGACGGUAGCUCUCUGUGCUUGGUUUGGUGCUGGUUUUAAAGAAUACAAAACACGCACAGCAGGAUUCCUGCUUACUCCUUUUUGGCAAAUGUGUUUGGCAUCCACAUGACAAAUAAAUUAGUAGGAUCUGUAGAAAACACAGGAAUUUUAUGAUACAAGAGAAACAUGAUGGAAAGGAAUGGAAAAAAGUCUUAGGGAGUGAAAUUCACUCUCAGACAUAACCUUGUGGAUCUGAUGGGAGAUAGCUUUUCCUUUGCCACCAAACAACAGGUAAAAUAGACUGAUUUCAUUUAUUCAUUCAUCUAACAAUGAUCUGUUGAGCACCUACCAUGUGACAGCAUUAUUCUUAAACUAAUGAUAUAAAAGUGAGUAAAACAAACUACUGAUCUCAUGAAAUUUUGUCAGUGAAAUCACAUAAUAGUGAAGCUGUGUUCAAUUUUAAUAGAAACAUGUUAUUGUCUCUAAGCU
rnacentral:lncRNA from 1 species